rnacentral:rRNA from 1 species
CGGACGGGUGAGUAACGCGUGAGGAACCUGCCUCAAAGAGGGGGACAACAGUUGGAAACGACUGCUAAUACCGCAUAAGCGCACAGCUUCGCAUGAAGCAGUGUGAAAAACUCCGGUGGUACAAGAUGGACCCGCGUCUGAUUAGCUGGUUGGUGAGGUAACGGCCCACCAAGGCGACGAUCAGUAGCCGGCCUGAGAGGGUGACCGGCCACAUUGGAACUGAGAAACGGUCCAG